AUACUUACCUGGCAGGGGAGAGACCAUGAUCAAGAAGGUGGUUCUCCCAGGGUGAGGGUUCUCCAUUGCACUUCGGCGGGGUUGACCCCUGUGAUUUCCUCAAAUGCAGGAAACUCAGCUGCAUAAUUUAUGGUAGUGGGGGACUGCGUUCGCUCUGUCCCCUG